AUUUAAUUGAGUUUGAUGAUGGCUCUGAAUGAACGCUGUCCAAAUGCUUGACACAUGCUAAUCGUACGUCUAAUAUAAUAUAAGGGUAUUGUGAGAAAAAAAGCCCACAAAAGCUCUUGAUUUAAUUAGAAGUGGUGUACAGGUGAGUAUAUGAUAUUUUGGCUACCAUAAAGUUAGGGAAAAUAAAUACCUAAUAUAAGAAAGGAAUUAAAUACUUAAUUUUCCGCUUUAUGAUGACAAUAAGUAUCUCGGAUAGGUAGUAGUUAAGGUAAUGACUUAACUAGCCAAAAAUUCCGUAGUCGAGGCUGAGAGGUCGAUCGAUCACAUUGGGUCUGAAAAAAUCCCAAUACGUAUAGUACAGCAGUGAGGAAUAUUGGUCAAUAGCCUAACGGCUGAACCAGCAACUUGGAGGAACGUAAAGUGUAAGCUUAUUACGCCUAAAAUUAAAGGUAAAUAUCGAUUAUUCGAAUAAAGUUCUAGAUAGAAUACUGAUAAUGACAAUUUUCUAUCUAUUUGUCUUGACCAAAUUACGUGCCAGCAGUCGCGGUAAUACGUAGAAGACUAGUGUUAUUCAUCUUUAAUAGGUUUAAAGGGUACCUAGACGGUAUUAUUAGCCCAAGAAAGGGUACAAUAUAACUAGAGUUUUAUAGGAGAAGGAAGAAUUUAUGGAGGAGAGUUAAAAUUUGAUGAUUCCUUGAAGACUGGUAACGGCGAAAGCAACCUUCUAUCUAGUAACUGACGUUGAGGGACGAAGGCCUGGGUAGCAAACAGGAUUAGAUACCCUAGUAGUCCAGGCAGAGAAUUAUGAAUGUCAUUGGCUAGAUUAAUUUAGCCUCUAAAUGAAAGUGUAAGCAUUCCACCUUAAGAGUAAUGCGGCAACGCAGGAACUGAAAUCAUUAGACCGUUUCUGAAACCAGUAGUGAAGUAUGUUAUUUAAUUCGAUGCUCCGCGAAAAACCUUACCACAAUUUGAAUAAUCUUUUAUUCUUUAACGAAUAAAAGAAAUACAAGCGUUGCACGGCUGUCUUCAGUUAAUGUCGUGAGAUUUUGGUUAGUUCCAUAAAAUUAACGUAAACCCUUGCUUUAUUUUUAAAUAAUAUUUUAUAAAGUAGUUCGCCAUUAUAUUGGUUUGAUAGAUGGGACCAAGACAAGUCAUCAUGGCCUUGAUAUUAUGGGCUAUAGACGUGCCACAUAACCCUAUACAAAGAGAUGCGAAAGUGUGAAUUUGAGCUAAUCUCAAAAGUAGGUUAUAAUAUGGAUUGUAGUCUGUAACUCGACUACAUGAAUAAGGAAUUACUAGUAAUCGUGAAUCACCACGUCACGGUGGAUAUUAUCUCAGAUAGGUACUAACUACUCGUCACGCGCCGAAAGAAGUAUGUGCAAUAAGUUUGGUGAGCUAUUCCUUUUAAAUUAAGAUAAUUGGUUCUUUAUACUGGUUUAGUAAAUUUUCGUAUGUGUGACUUUGAUUGGUGUUAAGUCGAAAUACGGUUCGUGUAGUGGAAAUUGCACGGGGUUGAUGAUUUUU
rnacentral:rRNA from 1 species